rnacentral:rRNA from 1 species
CUUGGUCAUUUAGAGGAAGUAAAAGUCGUAACAAGGUCUCCGUUGGUGAACCAGCGGAGGGAUCAUUAAAGAGUUGCAAAACUCCCAAACCAUUGUGAACAUACCUUCAACGUUGCUUCGGCGGGUUGGCCCCGGUCUCCGGGGCCCCCGGCCCUCACGGGCGCCCGCCGGAGGUACCUAACUCUUGAACUUUAGGCCUCUCUGAGUCUUUGUACUUAAUAAGUCAAAACUUUCAACAACGGAUCUCUUGGUUCUGGCAUCGAUGAAGAACGCAGCGAGAUGCGAUAAGUAAUGUGAAUUGCAGAAUUCAGUGAAUCAUCGAAUCCUUGAACGCACAUUGCGCCCGCCAGUAUUCUGGCGGGCAUGCCUGUUCGAGCGUCAUUUCAACCAUCAAGCCCCCGGGCCUGUGUUGGGGACCUGCGGCUGCCCGCAGGCCCUGAAAACCAGUGGCGGGCUCGCUAGUCACACCGAGCGUAGUAGCAUACAUCUCGCUCAGGGCGUGCUGCGGGUUCCGGCCGUUAAACAGCCUCUGCGCUACACCCAAGGUUGACCUCGGAUCAGGUAGGAAGACCCGCUGAACUUAAGCAUAUCAAUAAGCGGAGGA